rnacentral:rRNA from 1 species
AGCAGUAGCCACGGUAAUACAGAGGGUGCGAGCGUUAAUCGGAUUUACUGGGCGUAAAGCGUGCGUAGGCGGCUAAUUGAGUCGGAUGUGAAAUCCCCGAGCUUAACUUGGGAAUUGCAUUCGAUACUGGUUAGCUAGAGUGUGGGAGAGGAUGGUAGAAUUCCAGGUGUAGAGGUGAAAUGCGUAGAGAUCUGGAGGAAUACCGAUGGCGAAGGCAGCCAUCUGGCCUAACACUGACGCUGAGGUACGAAAGCAUGGGGAGCAAACAGGAUUAGAUACCCCUGUAGUCCCUGUCUCUUAUAC